rnacentral:rRNA from 1 species
AGUGGCGAACGGGUGAGUAACACGUGGGUGAUCUGCCCUGCACUUUGGGAUAAGCCUGGGAAACUGGGUCUAAUACCGAAUAGGAUCAUGCUCUUCAUGGGGUGUGGUGGAAAGCUUUUGCGGUGUGGGAUGGGCCCGCGGCCUAUCAGCUUGUUGGUGGGGUAAUGGCCUACCAAGGCGACGACGGGUAGCCGGCCUGAGAGGGUGACCGGCCACACUGGGACUGAGAUACGGCCCAGACUCCUACGGGAGGCAGCAGUGGGGAAUAUUGCACAAUGGGCGCAAGCCUGAUGCAGCGACGCCGCGUGAGGGAUGACGGCCUUCGGGUUGUAAACCUCUUUCACCAGGGACGAAGCGCAAGUGACGGUACCUGGAGAAGAAGCACCGGCCAACUACGUGCCAGCAGCCGCGGUAAUACGUAGGGUGCGAGCGUUGUCCGGAAUUACUGGGCGUAAAGAGCUCGUAGGUGGUUUGUCGCGUUGUUCGUGAAAACUCACAACUCAAUUGUGGGCGUGCGGGCGAUACGGGCAGACUAGAGUACUGCAGGGGAGACUGGAAUUCCUGGUGUAGCGGUGGAAUGCGCAGAUAUCAGGAGGAACACCGGUGGCGAAGGCGGGUCUCUGGGCAGUAACUGACGCUGAGGAGCGAAAGCGUGGGGAGCGAACAGGAUUAGAUACCCUGGUAGUCCACGCCGUAAACGGUGGGUACUAGGUGUGGGUUCCUUCCUUGGGAUCCGUGCCGUAGCUAACGCAUUAAGUACCCCGCCUGGGGAGUACGGCCGCAAGGCUAAAACUCAAAGGAAUUGACGGGGGCCCGCACAAGCGGCGGAGCAUGUGGAUUAAUUCGAUGCAACGCGAAGAACCUUACCUGGGUUUGACAUGCACAGGACGCCGGCAGAGAUGUCGGUUCCCUUGUGGCCUGUGUGCAGGUGAUGCAUGGCUGUCGUCAGCUCGUGUCGUGAGAUGUUGGGUUAAGUCCCGCAACGAGCGCAACCCUUGUCCUAUGUUGCCAGCGGGUUAUGCCGGGGACUCGUAGGAGACUGCCGGGGUCAACUCGGAGGAAGGUGGGGAUGACGUCAAGUCAUCAUGCCCCUUAUGUCCAGGGCUUCACACAUGCUACAAUGGCCGGUACAAAGGGCUGCGAUGCCGUGAGGUGGAGCGAAUCCUUUCAAAGCCGGUCUCAGUUCGGAUCGGGGUCUGCAACUCGACCCCGUGAAGUCGAGUCGCUA